ensembl:snoRNA small nucleolar RNA SNORA81
CACUUCUGCUUUAAAAGAAGUCUGCUAUAAUUGUACGAUUCAGAUUUUUCUGUUUCAUGCAAUAAUGCUAGCAGAGUUGUUUGUGGAAGGAGAUGGAUUGUGCGCUGUUCUGAAAAUGAGAUGGGGUCGAACCUCUUUCUUAAUGUUCGUUGACCUCGGUCUCAAGGCUCAGUGCUACAAGA